GCCUUUUCUUGAAUAUCUCAAGGUAUGAAGGCACAAUCUUGGAUGAAAUACCUCAUGGGAAAAGCAUUUUUCUGGGGUACAAUGACAACGACACUAAUAUAAGUAAAAUGUAUUUCAGGGAGAGUACUACAGCAAAUUUUGAUGCAAAGGGCAGAUGGUAUUUUCUAUCUUUUGUCUCAUUAAAAGACAAUUAUUAGCCUUGGUCAACUUUUAUGAAGUGGCGGUCAAAGGUAAAAGGAAUUCACCUACUAAUAAAGAUUAAGGAGGAAUACUGCAGAAGCUCAAGCUAUUUAAGAAGUUAAUACGUUAGCAUGUACUGAUUUAUAGCCUCAAACUGCUUGUAUUUAAAGGUGCGGAGUUCAGUUUUAUAAACAUUAUGAUCAUUAUGUUGUU